rnacentral:rRNA from 1 species
GACGAACGCUGGCGGCGUGCUUAACACAUGCAAGUCGAACGGAAAGGCCCUGCUUUUGUGGUGUGCUCGAGUGGCGAACGGGUGAGUAACACGUGAGUAACCUGCCCUUGACUUUGGGAUAACUUCAGGAAACUGGGGCUAAUACCGGAUAGGAGCUCCUGCUGCAUGGUGGGGGUUGGAAAGUUUCGGCUGUUGGGGAUGGACUCGCGGCUUAUCAGCUUGUUGGUGGGGUAGUGGCUUACCAAGGCUUUGACGGGUAGCCGGCCUGAGAGGGUGACCGGCCACAUGGGGACUGAGAUACGGACCAGACUCCUACGGGAGGCAGCAGUGGGGAAUAUUGCACAAUGGGCGGAAGCCUGAUGCAGAAACGCCGCGUGCGGGAUGACGGCCUUCGGGUUGUAAACCGCUUUAGCCUGUGACGAAGCGUGAGUGACGGUAAUGGGUAAAGAAGCACCGGCUAACUACGUG